GCAGUGAAUUUCAGUGCUGGAUGUCAAACAACAGUAUCAAAUAUUGUGAUGGCCUUUUGCUUGUUGUAGAGCAUCUUUCACUUGUACUAAAUCUUGACUUAGUACAGUAUAGUUAGAAUUCCACUAUUUUUUCUCAAUCAACAGUAGUCCCAUGUGUGUGGGCUGGAUUAUGUAUAACUUAGAAGUAGCAAUGGAUACAAAUAUAACUUAGAAGUAGCUAAUACCAUGUGUGUGGCCUGGAUUUGGUUCUUAUUUAGAAUCUGAUUUGGAACCAAAAUCAUAGGAAAACAAAAACUUGUGCUUCAGUACCUCGUGGCGUGUCUUCUUCACUUCGGCUAUUGUGGUCCGAGCAGCAAUGGGGUGGUGUAAGAGUGGAAAAUGUGGACACUUUGGGUCCGGUGGAUUCAUAAUUUGGGAUAUAUCAGAUGGUCAAGAGGAUUAUUCCUUUGCGGAGUUAUUUCCAAUGGCUAUUAUUGGGGUUAUUGGAGGCCUACUAGGUUCUUUAUUCAACCAGCUUAUACUUUAUAUUACCACUUGGCGUCGAAAUCAUCUUCACAAGAAAGGGAAUAGGAUCAAGUAAGACUGGAUAAUGCCCUGUCUACUCCAACAGUAUUUAAAAUAAAAUUUUUGACAAGAAGACUGGAUAAUGAUGUUCAUAUCCUUGACUUAUCAUGGACAUUGCCCUGUCUACACCAACAGUAUUUAAAGAAGCCAGAGGAUUAUUUAGCUCAUCUCCUUGGGCAUGAGCAUACUUAACCCUUCAGAGGGCAGAGGAAGCUUGCUCUCCUUUCUCAAGUCCAGAGGAUGUGCUACAUCUCUAUCUGCAGGAGUUGGGGAAGAAGGAAUUUAUCAGUAUUGAAAAGGUAAUCCCAUUUUUCAGUUUCAGCUUUAUUAUCAUUUGGGAGUUUUAAUGGUUUAAAAUUUUCACGAAUAAAUUAUAAAUUAUAAAUGUAAGGCUGGAAGCAUUAUUGACUAUUUUGUAGCAAAAUUAAUACAUCUUUUUCAGCAUAUGCUUUCAGUAAUUCAAGUUUCAGCAUUUGUUACUUCAAUAUUGCUUAACUUUUUUUUUUUAUCACUUAACAUAUCUUUGAUAUCAUUGGCUUUGUUUAUCAAUACCUUAAGUUGUUGCAUGAAGAUACUCCACCAGAAUGGAUAUUUAAGGAACUUCAAAAUAUUGGAAACAUGGAUUUUAGAUUUGUGGAAGAGUAGCCUCCACAUGAUUAUGCUGCUGAGCUUGCAGGUUUGUAAUUUAUUUUCUUGAAGUUUUCUUGGCAACAUAGAGUCAAACUUUUUUUUUUCUUGGUAUGAGUUGAAGUUUGUUUAAUAUGGGUGGAGUGAUUCUCUGAUGUUAGUGCCUUUUGAAAAUCUUGAUGUUUGAAAUGAUGCGGUUUUGGUAUAAGAACAUAUCUAAAUCAUUACUUAUUUGAGUGGAUUAUGAUGUUAGUUUAUGUUUGAUCUUUGUUGUAAAAGGAUAAUAAACUACGUUUUUAUAAACAUAAGAUUUAAUUGAAGUACUCAAUUGAUCUAUAAUAUUUGACAAUCAAUUGUACAUGAAUAAAAAAGUAAACUUAAGAAUAGAUGAAAGGAAUAUUAUUGUCAUGUAGUUACUUAGUAAAACCUGAAGAUCUAUUUGUUAUGCUCUCAACCCAAUUACAAGAAAGACUUUGUUGGCCAUUUAUAUUUGUGGUUGCUUCCUAUGUUGGUAUUGCUAUUUUCCAUUUUCUAAUUAUUUUUCAAUUAGCCUGCAAUUUAAGAUAGUGGUCAAUGAACACUAGGUAAUUAGUUAUAGUUAUUGUUAUACAGUUGAUUUUAAUUUUGCUCCAAAUUUUAUCAAUCAAAGUAAGUAUGACCCUUUAAUUUGAAUGGUGUUACAUUGGCCAAAGUUGAGUCUAGCAUAUGCUUAGUUGAUAGUUUGUUCGACAAGGUCAAUUUUGGAGAGGACAAAAGGAUGAAAAAAGAAAGCCGUCGUAGUAUAUUGGACAAAAGGAUGAAAAAAUAAAAAUAAAAAAAAGAAAUGAAUACUACGACAGUUAUUAGAUAAUCGUCUUAGUAUAUUAGACAUACUAUGACGGUUGUCCAAUAACCAUUGUAGAAAACUGUUACCUACAGACACAUACAAAGACGGUUCAUCACAACCCGUCGUAGCAGGUGGAACUUUUUAAGAUGGUUAUAUGAUAACCGUCGUAGAAAGUAGUAUCACCAUACAGGCAUAUUAAAACGGUUAAACUAACAAACAUUGUAGAUUGGUAUGACAUACUACGACGGUUAUGUGUCAACCGUCGUAGAAAGUAAGCUAUACAACGACGAUUCUAAAGCUUGUCUUUGUAACUUUUUUAUCUUUUACGACACCCUAUUUUAUGUUGGUUCAAAACCGUCGUAAAAUGAAUAAUUUAACCGACUUAAAAAGUAGCUUUUCCAGUAGUGGCAACUGGCAACAAUACGUGGAAGCAAACUUGUUGAGAAUGAAAUAUAUUAAUAAUAUUAGUGUGAAGUACGUUGAUGCUGUGAGUGAAGUUGCAAUAGGGAAACACUAACCAAUCCAUGUUCAAAUUAAUUUAUAUAAAGCUAACACGGUAGUAGCUUAUUUUCCCUCUUUGCUUUCUACAUAGCUGCACUUCUUGGUAGCUUCUUGGAAGCUUCUUUGUAUUUAAGGAAAAGUUAAUAUGGUCAUGUACACUUUCUUGGCAGCUUCUAUGAAGCUUCUUGUAUUUAAGGAAAAAUUAAUAUGGUCACGUA